UCCCUGGUAGUAUAUCGGUUAGUACACGCGCCUGUCAUCACUCUUGAUCUAUGUUGCGCGCGAAAGCUGGGUUCGACUCCCAGCCAGGGAG